GAUAAACGCUGGCGGCGCACAUAAGACAUGCAAGUUGAACGGACUUAAUCGAACUAUUUCUAUUUUGAAGCGGUUAGUGGCGGACUGGUGAGUAACGCGUAAGGAACCUGCCUAUUAGAGGGGAAUAACAGUGAGAAAUCAUUGCUAAUACCGCAUAUGCCAUAGAUAUCACAUGAUAACAGUGGGAAAGGAGCAAUCCGCUAAUAGAUGGCCUUGCGUCUGAUUAGAUAGUUGGUGGGGUAACGGCCUACCAAGUCGACGAUCAGUAGCCGGACUGAGAGGUUGAACGGCCACAUUGGGACUGAGAUACGGCCCAGACUCCUACGGGAGGCAGCAGUCGGGAAUAUUGCGCAAUGGAGGAAACUCUGACGCAGUGACGCCGCGUAUAGGAAGAAGGUUUUCGGAUUGUAAACUAUUGUCGUUAGGGAAGAGAAAGGACAGUACCUAAGGAGGAAGCUCCGGCUAACUACGUG
rnacentral:rRNA from 1 species